rnacentral:rRNA from 1 species
UACGUAGGGUGCAAGCGUUAAUCGGAAUUACUGGGCGUAAAGCGUGCGCAGGCGGUUCUAUAAGACAGAUGUGAAAUCCCCGGGCUCAACCUGGGAACUGCAUUUGUGACUGUAGAGCUGGAGUGCGGCAGAGGGGGGAUGGAAUUCCGCGUGUAGCAGUGAAAUGCGUAGAUAUGCGGAGGAACACCGAUGGCGAAGGCAAUCCCCCUGGGCCUGCACUGACGCUCAGUGCACGAAAGCGUGGGGAGCAAACAGG